GAUCAAAUUACUAAGGGCAUACGGUGGAUAUCUAGGUGCCGGAAGUCGAUGAGGGACGUGGUAAGCUGCGAAAAGCUUCGGUUAGCUGCACACAAGUGUUGAUCCGAAGAUUUCCUAAUGGGAGUACCUGCUUUGGAGUAAUAUCCAAGCAUCUAAGCCUCAAUUCAUAGGGUUUAGAGGACAUACCAGGUGAACUGAAACAUCUCAGUAACCUAAGGAACAGAAAACAACAGUGAUUCCCCUAGUAGCGGCGAGCGAAAAGGGAAGAGCCCAAACUAUAACAGUGUAAGCUUACAGGCGUUGCUGUUAUAGCGUCGUAGGAGUUAUCAGGUAGUGCUGUAACACUACACAAGUUGAUUCUUUUCUAGUCGAAUCAUCUGGAAAGAUGAACCAUAGAAGGUGAUAGUCCUGUAGACGAAAGAAAGGAUAGACUUGAUAACUUCCUGAGUACCAUGAGUCACGUGGAACCUCGUGGGAAGUAAGGAGGACCAUCUCCUAAGGCUAAAUACUACCCGGCAACCGAUAGUGAACCAGUACCGUGAGGGAAAGAUGAAAAGAACCCCGGGAGGGGAGUGAAAUAGAAUUUGAAACCGUAUGCUUACAAGCGGUCAGAGGACUAUUUAAAGUCUGAUGGCGUGCUUUUUGCAUAACGAACCGGCGAGUUACAGAUUGUGGCCCAGGUUAAGCUUUAAAAGCGAAGCCACAGCGAAAGCGAGUCUUAAAAGGCGCAAGUCGCAGUCUGUAGACCCGAAACCGAGUGAUCUAUCCUUGGUCAGGCUGAAGCACGGGUAAGAUCGUGUGGAAGACCGAACCUAUUGGCGUUGAAAAGCCAUAGGAUGAGCUGAGGAUAGGGGUGAAAGGCCAAUCGAACUCGGAAAUAGCUGGUUCUCUCCGAAAUAGCUUUAGGGCUAGCCUUAAGUAUCUGUCUUGGCGGUAGAGCACUGAUUGGACUAGGGGCUUAAUCAAGUUACCGAAUCCAGUCAAACUCCGAACGCCAUUACAGUAAGCUUAGGAGUCAGACUACGGGGGAUAAGCUGCGUAGUCGAGAGGGAAACAACCCAGAUCGCCAGUUAAGGUCCCAAAGUAUAGACUAAGUGGUAAAGGAAGUGGAGUUGCAUAGACAACCAGGAUGUUGGCUUAGAACCAGCCAUUCAUUUAAAGAGUGCGUAACAGCUCACUGGUCGAGUGACUUUGCGCCAAAAAUGUUCGGGGCUUAAGUCUAUCACCGAAACUGCGGAUUGGUUUUACCAAUGGUAGGAGAGCAUUCUAUUUGGACCGAAGCUGUACCGAAAGGAGCAGUGGACUGAAUAGAAGAGAGAAUGCCGGUAUGAGUAACGAUAAAAUAGGUGAGAAUCCUAUUCGCCGAUAGUCUAAGGUUUCCUGAGGAAGGCUCGUCCGCUCAGGGUAAGCCGGGACCUAAGCCGAGGCCGAAAGGCGUAGGUGAUGGUUAAUCGGUCAAGAUUCCGAUGCCGCCUUUAAUCAUUUGAGUAAAGGAGUGACACAGGAAGGUAUGUCAGCAUGGUAAUGGAUAUUCCAUGUUUAAGCAGUCAGGGAGCUAAUCUAGGUAAAUCCGGAUUAGUGUUAAUCCUAAGCUGUGAUGACGACUCUCUACGGAGAGGAAGUGACAAUUCCUCGACUGUCAAGAAAAGCUUCUAGCGAGAUUAAAGGCGCCCGUACCGCAAACCGACACAGGUAGACAGGAUGAGAAUUCUAAGGCGCGCGAGAGAACCCUUGUUAAGGAACUCGGCAAAAUGACCCCGUAACUUCGGGAGAAGGGGUACCUGUCUUUGACAGGUUGCAACAACCAGGCCCAAGCGACUAUUUACCAAAAAUACAGGUCUCUGCUAAGACGCAAGUCGAAGUAUAGGGGCUGACGCCUGCCCGGUGCUGGAAGGUCAAGGGGAAGAGUUAGUCAUCUUUUGAUGAUGAAGCUUGGAACUUAAGCCCCAGUAAACGGCGGCCGUAACUAUAACGGUCCUAAGGUAGCGAAAUUCCUUGUCGGGUAAGUUCCGACCUGCACGAAUGGCGAAACGACUUGGGCGCUGUCUCAACAAGGGACUCGGUGAAAUUGAAGUGUCUGUGAAGAUGCAGGCUACCCACGACAGGACGGAAAGACCCCGUGGAGCUUUACUGCAGCCUGAUAUUGAGUUUUGGUACAAUAUGUACAGGAUAAGUGGAAGGCAUUGACACCGGAGCGCCAGUUUCGGUUAAGCCAUCCCUGGGAUACCACUCUUAUUGUUCCGGAAUUCUAACUUUGUAGCGUUAUCCGCUAUGGGGACAGUGUCAGGCAGGCAGUUUGACUGGGGCGGUCGACUCCCAAACAGUAACGGAGUCGCCCAAAGGUUCCCUCAGUACGGUUGGAAAUCGUACGUAGAGUGUAAAGGCAGAAGGGAGCUUAACUGCAAGACAUACAGGUCGAGCAGAUACGAAAGUAGGGCUUAGUGAUCCGACGGUAGAGAGUGGAAUUGCCGUCGCUCAACGGAUAAAAGUUACCCCGGGGAUAACAGGCUUAUCUUUCCCAAGAGUUCACAUCGACGGAAAGGUUUGGCACCUCGAUGUCGGCUCGUCGCAUCCUGGAGCUGGAGCAGGUUCCAAGGGUUGGGCUGUUCGCCCAUUAAAGCGGUACGCGAGCUGGGUUCAGAACGUCGUGAGACAGUUCGGUCCCUAAUCCGUCGUGGGCACAGGAGACUUGCGAGGAUCUAUCCCUAGUACGAGAGGACCGGGAUGGACGUACCUCUGGUGAACCAGUUGUUCUGCCCAGAGCAGAGCUGGGUAGCUAAGUACGGAUAAGAUAAGCGCUGAAAGCAUCUAAGCGCGAAGCCAACCUCAAGAUAAGGUUUCCCAUAGAGUAAAUCUAGUAAGAUCCCUGAAAGAAGAUCAGGUAGAUAGGCCAGAGGUGUAAGGACAGUAAUGUUCUAAGCUGACUGGUACUAAUAGAUCGAGGAUUUGAUCUG
rfam:Acetohalobium arabaticum DSM 5501, complete genome.